UCUAACAUUAUUGAUGUGAUGAUGACAACGAAAACUAAGGAAGUAUGCAUACGCUGUGGAAGGAAAAUAAUAAGUUAUAUUCCUUCCCUCCAUUGAAAGUUUAUCUGGUGUUAAAGUUGAAUGUUCCGUAAAUCGCAUAGAAUCUACGAAUAUUAAUUUCAGCAGAUAAGCAACACUCUUCUUGUCAAUUGUUUGCAGUUUAAGUGAUUGGUAGUUGAUAUCUGACACUGUCAUUCCUUCGUAUAGUUUAUCGGGAGUACAUUUCGAUAUAGAAUACCUAAUGAUGUGUAAAGCUUUCCUGUAUUGCUUUGUUUUGUAAAACAAUGAAGCUAUCAUAAGCCAUCCAGAAACAGCGUA
rnacentral:lncRNA from 1 species